AUUGAACGCUGGCGGCAUGCCUUACACAUGCAAGUCGAACGGCAGCACGGGAGCAAUCCUGGUGGCGAGUGGCGAGCGGGUGAGUAAAGUAUCGGAACGUGCCCAGUCGUGGGGGAUAACGUAGCGAAAGUUACGCUAAUACCGCAUACGAUCUAUGGAUGAAAGCGGGGGAUCGCAAGACCUCGCGCGAUUGGAGCGGCCGAUAUCAGAUUAGGUAGUUGGUGGGGUAAAGGCUCACCAAGCCGACGAUCUGUAGCUGGUCUGAGAGGACGACCAGCCACACUGGGACUGAGACACGGCCCAGACUCCUACGGGAGGCAGCAGUGGGGAAUUUUGGACAUUGGGCGAAAGCCUGAUCCAGCCAUGCCGCGUGCAGGAUGAAGGCCUUCGGGUUGUAAACUGCUUUUGUACGGAACGAAAAGGUUUGGCCUAAUAAGCUGAGCUCAUGACGGUACCGUAAGAAUAAGCACCGGCUAACUACGUGCCAGCCGCCGCAGUAA
rnacentral:rRNA from 1 species